UAUCUUGCUAAUUGAAUUGGAUUUUCUUUAAACUUAGUUACAAACCUAGGCAUGCUUUCUUAGGAUCAAUACUGAUUGAAAUAAAUGUGACUCACUUGCCAAAUAUUUUUACACUGUUAAUGAUUCUUCUGUACAUUUAUCCUCAUACAACACCACAACCAUACCCUCUGUUUUCAGUCUUUAGGCUGUGGUGCUGGUUUCUUAUGCAGUCAAAACAGUAGCACCAGCACAACAGGAACUGAUCAGCUGGGAGAAACAAAAAGCGGGGAACGCGGGGUGGACCCCAGAAACAGCCCUAUCAGGACUGAGAUGGAGUGCAAGUUGGUGGGGGUUGGAACAGGAAGACAGAGGUUGAGGAAGUUAAGCAAGUUAAACCACAUGAGCUGGAGGGCAGCCCAACAGCCUCUUCAUUUAUUUACCAUCAAGUUGCAGAGGGUUGGAAUGGGCUGAGAUAACAACAGGCCAGAGACGCACAGUCACGAUGCUUCCAUAUCUGCAUGGUGGCUCCAGCUUAUCUGCAGUCAUAAAAACAAAAAUGUAGGUAGGGUAGUUCUAUUCCCUUCAUUACAACAAUUCGCUUAUUUGCUGAAA